rnacentral:rRNA from 1 species
AAAUUUUACAUUCAAUAAGCGAGGAAAAGAAACCAACAGGGAUUGCCCCAGUAACGGCGAGUGAAGCGGCAGGAGCUCAAAUUUGAAAUCUGGGGUCCCCGACCUCCGAGUUGUAAUUUGGAGAGGCAUCUUCGGGGGGGAGCGCCGGCCCAUGUUCCUUGGAACAGGACGUCACAGAGGGUGAGAAUCCCGUGCCAGGCCGGCUCCCUCCUCCCGGGUGAAGCGCCUUCGACGAGUCGAGUUGUUUGGGAAUGCAGCUCCAAGUGGGUGGUAAGUUUCAUCUAAAGCUAAAUACCGGCGGGAGACCGAUAGCGCACAAGUAGAGUGAUCGAAAGAUGAAAAGCACUUUGAAAAUAGAGUCAAAAAGUACGUGAAAUUGUUGAAAGGGAAGCGCUUGAGACCAGACUCAGGCCCGGGCAAACACCGCGCCCCCAGGGGCCGUGCAAUUGCCUGGGGCUGGGCCAGCAUCAGUCGGCGUGGCGGGACAAAGGCGCGGGGAAUGUGGCUCCCCUCGGGGAGUGUUACCAGCCCCGCGCUCAAUGCCGCCGACGCCGACUGAGGACCGCGCCUCGGCUAGGAUGCUGGCUUAAUGGCCUUCAGCGACCCGUCUUGAAACACGGACCAAGGAGUCUAACAUCUAUGCGAGUGUUUGGGUGCCAAACCCUUGCGCGGAAUGAAAGUGAGCGGAGGUGGGAACCCCCCAGCGGGGCGCACCAUCGACCGAUCCUGAUGUCUUCGGAUGGAUUUGAGUAGGAGCAUAGCUGUUGGGACCCGAAAGAUGGUGAACUAUGCCUGAAUAGGGUGAAGCCAGAGGAAACUCUGGUGGAGGCUCGCAGCGGUUCUGACGUGCAAAUCGAUCGUCAAAUUUGGGUAUAGGGGCGAAAGACUAAUG